rnacentral:lncRNA from 1 species
UAUUCAGCUCCGAGAUGAGAUUGAGGAGCUCAUCAGAUGAGGUCGGCUUGACAGAUUCAUCCGACGCCGGCCUGAAGGUAGGGAAGAUCGGCCGAGGGCCCUACCACAACCAGAGCCGCCAAAGAGGAAAGAAUAGCCUGCAGAUCGACCUCCAAUCGGGAUCAUCAACACCAUCUCUGGAGGAUCCCGAUGGGGAGCAGCCAGUGGAUCGGCCAGACCGCCCAAGCAACAGAGGACUGAAGAAUUUAUAACCUUUACUGAAGAAGAUGCCCGAG